rnacentral:rRNA from 1 species
AGUACCCCGUAGAAGCCGAUACUGCGGACGGCUCCGUAUACUAGGGAUGAUACAGGCGAUAGGGUUCGCGACGGGCAUAACGCCCCCGCGGACCGAUACGGAUAUCCCCCCAAAAAGCUGAGGCUAAUACGUUGUCGAGACUCGCCCUUGCUGGUCCAGGCUUCCUAUCGCAGGUUGCCACACGGGUCGGCGGGGGCGGAGUAUGCGGAAACUUCCUUUAGGUUGAUUCCGCGCAUAUCGGAACCGAGCGGCUAAGGCCUUCUCGGUUCCAUAUGCUGGGGGGGAUUCGUCCUCGGUGCUCGCAUAGGGCCCCUACUGUAUCAAUCUGAUGGUAGCGCAACGGACAUGCGGAUGUUCGUGACGCAUACAGAGGAUUAGAGUUUGAUCCUGGAGAGUGGGCCUGAGAGACAGCCCACACUUCUACGGGGGGCAGCAGGCGCGCAACGUUCCCACUGAGCAUAGACUCGAGGGCGUUACGGGGAAUAGGCAUGGUGGCGGCAUAGCCGUUCAUCAUGCGAAUGGUGUUCUAUCAAACACCGGACAGAGUAACAAUUAGAGGACAAGUCUGGUGCCAGCACCCGCGGUAAUUCCAGCUCUAAGAGCAUAUGUAAAAAUUGAUGCAGUUAAAACGUUCGGAUUCGAUGUUCGGCAGCUAGGCCGCAGCAGGGCCCUCGGGCCAGGCUGGUUGGAGUCGGCUGUUGGACAAGCGGGUGGGUAGCCUCGGGCCGCGAGGCCUGGGGCGACCCCACAGGGGCAGUGGUCAAAAUGUAAAUCAUUCAUGUUCACCGGUUCGCAUUGCGGCUCAUAGCGAGCCAACGUGCGUUCAACCAGUGCAACCACCACUGCACCUCAGGACCGGGCAAUAAAAGGGCCGAUAGCAAGGCACUGCCCGGUUCGCGCUAAAGGGGAUUGUUAAGGGCGUCACAGUACUGCUCGGCGAGAGGUGAAAUUCGAUGACCCCAGCAUGACUAACUAGAGCGAAAGCAGUGACGUAUUCGAUACCCCUCGAACGAGAACGAAAGACAGGGGAUCAAAGUCGAUCAGAUACCGACGUAGUCCUGACUGUAAACUAUGCCAGCAAGGUGUGAAAUGGCUUCGCCGAUUGAAGCACCUUGUUCCUCCCGGAAACAAGUGAGC